rnacentral:rRNA from 1 species
AUUGAACGCUGGCGGCAGGCCUAACACAUGCAAGUCGAGCGGAGCGGCGGACGGGUGAGUGAUGCCUAGGAAUCUGCCUGGUAGUGUGGGAUAGCGUCCGGAAACGGGCGCUAAUACCGAAUACUAUCAGAUGAGCUUAGGUCGGAUUAGCUAGUGGGUGGGGUAAUGGCCUACCAAGGCGACGAACCGUACCUGGUCUGAGAGGAUGAUCAGUCACACUGGAACGGAGAAACGGUCCAGACUCCAACGGGAGGCAGCAGUGGGGAAUAUUGGACAAGGGGCGAAAGCCUGAUGCGGCCAGGCGGCGUGUGUGAAGAAGGUCUUCGGAUGGUAAGGCACUUUAAGUGGGGAGGCGUUACCAACAGAGUAAGCACCGGCUAACUACGUGCCAGCAGCCGCGGUAAUAC